UUAACAAUGUUGAUAGGGACGGUAGUCUGAAACAGGGCUUCAGAGAGCCGGAUAAGGUGCAAGCCGGCGCCAAUUGGCAGACUAGUCUCACCCUGGAGUUGCCCCCGUGAAAGUGGUUUUCCAUUAGUAAUUGGGACCGGGUUGUGGAACCCGUUAUCAAAACCAGCGCCAUGUUUUUUUAGUUGGCGUACUGAGUUGGCUUCAUGAUCUUUUGAAGCAAUCAGGGUGGUACCGCGGAAGGAUAAACCUCUCGCCCCUGGC
rnacentral:ncRNA from 1 species